rnacentral:lncRNA from 1 species
UUUUUUUUUUUUUUUUUUUUUUAAGUAUUCUACACUUUAGUGUUAACCAACAUCUCCACUACCCCCAUCCCCAUGGGACACUGAACUCCAACUGUCAAUAUAAGCAAACUGACAGUGUCCCCACAGAAGCAUGACCGUCACUUUGGGCAAGAGUUUAGGCAGUUUGGCAGCUUUUAAAGGCCUCAUUUUGAACAAGCAGAGAACUCUUCUGGAAGGAUUUAAAACCAUGCUAUAUAAGUUGCAAUUAGUGGCUUCCCACAAAUUAUAUAUCACUCCAGCAAGUACAAUCUUCCUCAAGUGUUUGUUCGCUGGUUCAUGGGAUUGGACUUCAUUGUUCUACUGUGGUCAAAUAUAUUUCUCUUCCCCUUUUAUUCCCACUCACUUUGUACUUAACAUCCCAGGUGUGCACCUAGCUGGGUGUUUACAAGGCCCUCAACUAGGGACACACAAAAUAAUCUCAUAGGUGGCCUUCAAAAAUAUUUUAUUUUCUUGGCAGAAAUAGUUUUCCACUUCAUUUUUGGUCUAUAGGUUACACUUAACCAACACUGGUUCAUCACAUUUAUUAUAGCAAAUAAAAGAUGAACAUAAAUUAGUUACAUACAUGCAUAUAUUCUUGAGGCAGAAAACACUUUCAGUUCACCAAUGCAUAGGCAGACACAGUGAAUUCAUACCAUUGACUGGGGGGAUAAUUUUGUCAAAGGCCUUUUGCCACUGUUAAACAGGUUCUGGGGAGACUUCAAAAGAAAAUUGUUUAGCAAAGGCAAACAAUGUUUGAUGAUUUCAAGAAAGUAGCUGAUUUGACAUAACAUUAGCAUUCAGGUGGAAACUAAAUGUAUUGUAAUAGGCGACCCCCAAAUGGAGGCUGUCCAACCAGUGACAUCAGCUAGGAAUCUAUUUAGGCAUAGUGCAGGUGUCAGUUAUAUGUGUGACAACAUUGUAUGGUUGAAAAAUAGAGCAUGACAGAUAUUUAGAAGGCUUAGACCCUGCCUGGCUUUGCCACUUUUCAACUCUCUGAUAAAUCACUUGAGUGUACCAGGUCUCCUUAUUUGUGGAAGGAAGGAAUUAGAUUAUCUGUAAAUUUCCUUCUUUCAUAAAUGCACAUUCUCUGGAUUCAAAUUCCAGAUCGCUUUCUAAUUCUAUGUCUUGGGACACCACUAUUUAACUUCUGGACCGUAGUUUCCGAUAUCCUAAAAUGAAAAUAAUAAUGAAUGUCUAUUUAAUGACUUUGAAGAUUAAUUGAGAUAAUAUAUGUGGAAAUUUCUAGGAAAGAGUCAGACACCUAGUAGAUCUUUCAUUACAUGUGCAGGAGCCUUCACAAUGACUUAGAAAAGUAAAUAAUUUUUCUUGAAAGUGGCAUCUGGGUGCCAGGCCAGCAAAUGGUUUCUCAUGGCUAGCCUGAGAAAUUUGAAAAAAUUAGCAGAGGAGUGAAAGUUCUGAAUAAAGAAGAGAAGGUGAGGUUUAAAACCUUGCCUUGGCAGCCACCUAGUAACCAAAGCAGCAGCAAAUUGGUUGUUGACAAGGCUAGUUCAUAAGGGAACUACAGUAGGAGAAAGAGGACUUUACAUGAAGAUCUAAAAGGUGCAGGGAUUGUGGGCACAAUUUCAUUGGUUUCUAGUUUGUGCACCUUAUCUUCUUACAGAGACACUCAGUAAAGAGCCUCGUGUGAGGGGAGGGUCAUGGCAUUAGAGUCAGACAUUGCGGCAGAGAUAACUAGCUUUCUGUCAAAAAGGCACACUCUUCCUUGCAUGGUGUGGCAUGAGUGCAAGAAUGAGGCUGCCCAUCCAGGGCCUACACUUCUCACCUCCGUGUUCACAUACAGCCACAUGGCCUGCCUUCAACAAUAACAUGUAUAUAGAAAGGAUCUGUGACACUUCUGGGCUGGGUUUUUAAGCAGUGGAGCUUACCUUCUACCCUCUUUCCUCUCUUUGCAUCAGCUGUCAGAUACAGAUGUACCAAGGCCUUAGGAAAAAAGUGAAACUACAGAUGACAAGGUCCCAAAGUCACCAAGCGCUCCACAUCCGGGAAAGCUGUCUUUGAAUCAAGAACGUUCAUGUGCUUUGACAUGAGUGAGAAGUACAUUUCUGUUAUGGUUAAGUGACAGAAAUAUCAAGAUUUAUUAGUUUUUCCUGCAAGAAGGAUGUAAUAACAUAGCAAUGUGGGUGGGCCUCAAACACAUUAUGCUGGGAGAAGAAAAGCCUUAUGUAAAAGCGAUAUAGGCUACAUUAUUACAUUCACAUGAUAUUCUAGAACAGGCUAAACUAAUGGGAAAAUAUCAGAAUGCUUAUUAUCUCUGGAGGGAUGGAGUGGGGUUUGACUGGAAAGAGGCAACUUUCUGGAGUGAUUUUAAUGUUCUAUAUAAUAAAAGGGAUCACGUGGUUAGUAGAUGAACUACUAAAAGUGAGAGAGAUUAAGAGUAAAUAGACCAAUUUUUCACUCUAAGAAUGAAAUUCUUGUGUGAUUUGAAUUCAGCUCUGACUCACUCUAAAUCCUUCUUGCUUCUGCUCUCUCAUGCCUGUACUAGAAAUUAGUGGGUAGAACAUUCAAGUGACUUGAUAUGAAUUAUUAGAAGACAGAUUCGGGGGAAAAAAGAACUGUGAGCGUUUGAAUUCCAACGACAAGCCAGGUAAAAAUCAUACAAAGCUUCAACAAUGUACAGCUAAUUAGCUCUAAUGCUUAGAUCUAAUGUGGGGUUUCUGAGGGUGGUGACAUUCAUAGAUGACUAAUUAACCUGGGCAGCAAAUCUAUUUCAUUUACUGCCAUGACAUAGCCAAUCAAGACUGGCUUACUGUUUGCUCAUUUGGAAAAUGAUUAAGAUUCCCAUUUAGACUUAAUUGCAGUGCAAAGGUUGACAAUUAUCUUCUCUAUAGAAGCAUCAGGUGCUUCAAUAUCUCAGUGAACACGUGACUAUAAUUACGUACAUAAUUUGUCUAGCAGAAAAUGUAACCCAGUCAUUACCUGGAUCUUAUGCCUGUAAUUAGGGAUCAUAAAAGUACCAAAUGGGAAAACUGGGUUGGUGGGAAGUUAGGACUCUUACAGUAUAAGAAUCUAUGUGGAGCUUUUAGCGGGAACUCAGUAGCAACCAACAUCUCUUGGAUAACUGCCCUCUAGUCAAAAUAAUUAGGAAAUGUGAGAGAAAGGUGAAAAUCAUGGUACAGUGAAAGCAAAAUACAAUUGCUCUUCUACGACUUGACAGCAAUCAUUAAAAGUCCUAUGGGCACCUCAAAUUCAACACAACUAAAACAAAAUUCAUUAACCACCCUCUGCCCCUUCUCUGACAUGUCCUUAGAUAAUGGUUAGACAUUCAAGAACCAUCUUUAACAAUUCUUAUCUAUCUCUUUCCCUGCAGUCAAGGGAUGUAAUUCUAUUCAGUAAAUGUUCCACUCUUCAUUAUGCAACACUUCCAUACUUCUGCCUUCAUUACUGCUGUAGGUUAGCUUUAAGGGGAAAUACAAAUGAUCUGCCUUCCUCUAGUUUCUCUCCUCUGUUGCUCAUCCUCCACAUUUUCUCCAGAAUGACCAUAGCAAAUCACAAAUUGAAUUGUAUUAAUUCUGCCAUUCAGGAGAGUCCAGAAUGUCCACCCUUUCCUAAACAACAUUUACAAGGGCACACCAAGCAUUUUAUACUUUAGGUUCUAUGCCAGUUUUGCGCUCCCGCCCCUUGCUUCAAUUUAGCAAAAGACUUCAUCAGAUGACUUACUGAAUAUGUAAUGGAAUAUGCUCAUUAUUUUUACCUCUUGCACUAUAGCCAACUACCCCCAAAUUCAGCAACUAAAGGUGAUCAUUUUAAUUUUACUCAUGAUAUGGUGAGUUAAGAAUGCAGAAAUGAUUUGAAUGGGUAAUCAUUUCCGAUCAGCAUUGCAUUGGCUGGGGUGGAAGAAUCUUCUUCCAAGAUAGCAUCUUUGCUCAUGUUCUGGUGUUUCAGAGCUUCUUGGCCUCUCUCAUGUGGCUUCCAGUUUUUCAGAGUCUCUCCCCUUGGCUUAUCUGCUUGCAGCAUGGAUAUUUAAAGGAAGUUUCACUUUUUUCGUAGGGGCUGGAUUCAGAGAGACAUGCACUAGAAACUGUGCAGCUAGGCAAGAACUAUGACAGAAAGUGGCAUGGCAACAUGUCUACUACAAUUUUUUGGCAAAAAUAGUCAUGAGGGCCCUCAGAUUGAAGGAGGUAGAGAAAUAAACCCCACCUCUAAAUAGGUAGAUGCCAAGGUUACACUGUAGAAGAGGACAUAUAUUUUUAUGCUUAUUUCUUAAAAAUAAAAUCUUCCACACACACUAUUUCUUCCUUCUGACUUGCCAAUCAUUCCUAUUUAAUUCAACUCCUACCUGCCUUUUAAGACUAACUACAGUGUUAGUUGCUCAACUUUGCUGUACAUAAUACAAAUAAAACAAAUCUCUUUUGCUACAAAACCCUUCUAAUAUUUGGUUCAAGCCUCUUUUAUACCAAAGUGGAACAUCAUUGUCUGUGACUUACAUAUUUAUCUCUCCAGUAAGAAUGUGAGUAUGAGGUCUUAUUUAAUGUAUAAUCUCUUGAAUAUAAACAUAGAUCCUGGUAUAUAGUAGAUGCUUGAUAAAUGUUCUAUUGAUCAUGAAAUCAAAUGAAGGGAUGAUUCCAUUGAUAAAUAUAGUACCUUUGCUUAGUGUACUCCCUAGAACAAGUUUAGAACCUGUAGUUACAAGCCUCCAAGAUGGCCCAAGUGAUCUCCAUUUCCUGCCAUUUUUAUUCUUGUAUAGUCCCUUCCAAUGCUGCACUAGAGUUAAUCUAUGCGACCAUUAGAAAAUAGCAGAAGAGAUGAUAUUACACAUCUGAGAAUGGGUUAUUAAAGACACUGCAGUCUCCAUCUCUCUGUCUCUGUCUCUCUCUAUGCCCUUCUGUCUCUCAUUCACCCUAGUAGAAACCAGCUGUCCUGUUUUGAACAGUCCUAUGAAGAAAGCCAUGUGAAAAUGAACUGAGGCCUCCCACUAAAGCCACUUGAAUGGCUUGUGACCAGGUCCUCUUACCCAGCCAUGCCUUCGAUGGCUAUGGCUCCAGGCAACAGCUUGAUGGAAACUUCACAAGAAACCCAGUGAAGAAGAACCAGAACCACUAUCUAAGUUGCUCCCAUAUUCCUGGCCCUCAGAAACAAUAUGAGAUAGUAGAUGUUUGUUAUUUUAAGAUGCUGUGUUUUGGGGUAAUUUUUUAUGUAGCAGUGUAUAACCAGUUUAUUUGCUAAUAAGUAUUGGUGAAUGUUGUUAAAAAGAGCAAGAAUAAAGCAAUUCCCUUUCUCUUCUUGGAUUUUUAGCCAAGGUAUUUUGUUGUUAUUAGGAUAGACACCUGGGUGGUAAUUCUUAUAUGAAGCCAAACACCUGGGCUUUUUCACCAUCACAAAAGGCCUCUCAAAUACAACCGAGAGAAAGUAAUGAUCUCAUUUACUGGGGCAAAUAUUUGUGCUAAUUAGUAGCAUGUUGAAAUAUAGCAUGUCAAACAAUAAACUAUUUGUACUUAAUCUUCCAACACAUUUUCUUAUAGAAAGAACAUGAUGCCAAAGAAAUGAACAUUAAACCACUAUGUACAGUCAGCCCUAUUUCCUAGCUUUGUAUUUCAACCUCUAAUUCUUAACUGAUAAAACUUCUAUUUUGGUUGAAAAUAAGAUUCUUCAGUUAAUAUCAACAAUAUUCAAACAUGAAUUAAAAAUACAUGAUACUAUCUAGAAAAUAUUUUAUUUAUAUGGGCUUCUAAGAUAUUCAGAAGAUUUUUAAAGUGCAGAAUCACUCAAGAUUCCAUAAUUUUUGUACUCAAAGAUACUUCUAUGCAAUGUUUAUAUUGUGAAUAAUUAGUAAAAUGCCAUAAAUUAGAAACAUAAUAAGCAUAUACACUAAUUCACUAAUUCUUCAGUUUAUGCUAAUCUGUUCACCCAUAUUGGACUAUUCACCAAAUAUUUAUAGAAUAGUAAUUGUUAUUUGGUCAACAGUAAGAAUCUUGAAUUGCAAAAUCUCAAAGUAUGGUGUGAACUUAGAGUAUGAACAAGGAUAUUUAGUCCCUUUGCCUCCUGGAAAACAACUGUAAUAAAUU